AUACGGAGGGCGCGAGCGUUAUUCGGAAUCAUUGGGCGUAAAGCGCGUGUAGGCGGCUGGGUAAGUCGGAUGUGAAAGCCCGGGGCUCAACUCCGGAAUUGCAUACGAAACUGCCUAGCUAGAGUCUCGGAGAGGAGGGCGGAAUUCCCGGUGUAGAGGUAAAAUUCGUAGAUAUCGGGAGGAACACCAGUGGCGAAGACGGCCCUCUGGACGAUGACUGACGCUGAGACGCGAAAGCGUGGGGAGCAAACAGGAUUAGAAACACCAGUAGUCC
rnacentral:rRNA from 1 species